UUUUUUUUUUUUUUUCAUCAUCAUUACAUGUACACUACAUUUUGGUGCAUUCCCUGGAGCCAGAAUGUCUGGAUUAAGUUCCAGUUCUUCUGUGCAUCAGCUGCCUGCCCUUAGUUAAUUUAGCUUUUCUUGAAAUUCAACUCAUCUGUUAAAUUAGAAUAAAAAUACACUCACUUCAUAGAUGUGUUGUAAGAAUUAAAUGUGUCAAUACAUAUAAACCCUUAGGAACAGAGAGUAAUGAACACUGAGUUCCCUUUAUGUAUUAGUAUUUUGUUUUUGUAUUAUCAUGACUAAAAAAUCUCAUUAUUUUGAGUUACUGUUAAAUAUAAAUAACACCUUAACAUAAUAUAAAAUUCUUAGGUCAUUAUCCAUGUUCCCCAUUUUGAAACCAAGUCAGAGCCACUAUAUCUUCAUAUUUCUGAGAAGUUUGAGGUAGCUUCAUCUGUAUUUUUGGGAUUUUUAGCAAGACAAGAACAAUAUAUUUUUAGUUUUUAAUUAUUUGUGUGUGUACCUAAUGCCUAGAUGUACAUUGCUUUAUAAUUCAAAACUUUCCAGUAUGCAUGGCUAUGUGUAUCUUUUAUUUUUCCAUUGGCUUUUGCCAAACUCAGUAAAUGGUUUUAUUUGUUUAUUAAUCUUUUCAACAUCAUAGGAGUGUAUCCUUAACUGUUUAUUUGAUCAUUGAUUUUAUUUCUAUUGAUUUUUAAUUUUUGCUUUCCAAGUGUUCCUCAGAAACCAUUAUAAUUUGCAAGUUGAAUUUUUACUCUCCCAGUUCUCUCUCCCACUAUGUGUCUUUGUUCUUUCUUGUCCACUUCAGAGAUCCUGGUGAUUUUCUUAAGUUUUUCUUCCCAUAUCAGAGUUCUUCUUGUCCACAGAAUCCACUGAACUGUCUAAUGCAACCGGAGUAAUUUUGAGUUCUUUCAUUGUAUAUCACAAUGUCCUAAAACCACCUUUUAUCCCAGAUGUGACAAGGAAGGAUCCAGGACCAGGGAGACAUCCCUUGAAAAGCAGCAUUUAGAGCAAACCUUAGGAGAACCUAAGAUACCUCUUUGACUUCCAGUAGGUUCUCACCAUAUAAACAGUCCAGAAGGAUCCAAGAGGUAAUAGGGGCCAGAGUCUCUUUCCCCUUUCUCAGAUAGGAAGUGGUUUUGUAAUUUUUCUCUUUUCUCUCUUGUGUGUAUGUGUGUGUGUGUGUGUGUGUGCACGCGCACGCACACACAUACACAUCAAGAGCUACCUCUGUUCAUUACUCAGAAAUCCUCAACUUAGAGCGAGAAGCAACCUCCUUUGUGGAAGACAUGGGUGCAUUUUAUGAAACUAAAGUUACUUGUUUUAUGGAGUAUUUAGGAAGAAAUACAUGCGUUAAAAUGUCAACAAAAGCAUUGGGCUCUGGAAGACUCAAUGGGUGUCCAUUUACUCUGAUUUUGCUAAUGUAUAGUUUUCAUUUUGUAAGUCUCUCCCCUCUCAGUUCAUAUGAUUCCAUGCACCCAAGAAAAGCAGGUCUCUCAGACUUGAUCAACCAGAGUCUCAUGGCCCCCAGGCCACAGUGAUUGCUUCAGGGAAAGGCACACUGUUUCUUCAGAGACUGUAACAUCAUGAAAAUUUUGCUGACUCUGCAGAGUGGCACAUAACAUCUCUGUCUGGACUUGAAGCCGAGAAACAGAACUGAGUGCUACUGCUCCCGUCUUGCUGAUGCCUGGAAUCUAAAAUCAACAUAAAAGAAAUCAAAUCCUGAAUGUCUGACCCAUUCAUCCAUUGGCAUUUGAAUUCGCUCUACCCUGAGGCUACUCAUUAUGUGGAACAAUCCAUCACCUCUUUAUCCAGCACAUCUUCAUUUUAUUUACUCUCUUUUUAUGUCAAAGAAUCUGAAGAUAGUCAGCUUAGACUAUGGUAAGACUAAUAUAAAAUAAAUUAAUUAAAAGAAAAAUACAAGUUUUCCAGAUUGAGAAUUAUAGGAGCAAGUGUCCCUCACCUUGUGUAGAAGUCAACUCUUUGUAAAUUAAGGUAUGCUCUGUUACCCUUGACUGUCACAUAAUUAUUAUACAUACAGCUGGAACAUAUUAUAUAGGGUUUUCUUUAAUAGAAAUAAUAGGGAAAAAAAUACACUGGUGAACAGAAGGGAAGAAAAGUAUUUGUAUCUGUUGGCAUUGGCUGCCAUAACAAAAUGCCAUAGAUCAGGCAGCUGGAACAUCAUACAUUUAUUUCCCAGUCUUCUGGAGGCUGGAAGUCCAAGAUCAGGUACCAGACAAUACGAUUUUUGGUGAGAACUCCUGGGCUUGCAAAUGGCCAGCUUCUUCCUAUGUUCUCACAGGGUUGGAAGAAGGCAAAAGAGGAAGUGCCCUUGAUACCAAAAGAUGAUACCAGAAUCCGGGUUCUUGUUCACAGCAGUCAAAUGAACUCUGGGAACACACAGGCAGCAAGCAAAGAAAGUCUUUAUUGAAGAAAAGCAGAUAGCUCCCAGGACAGCUGGAAGAGGGGAGAAGAGCCCCCCUUCUCUCUUGUCUUUAGGGGCUUUUAUUCCUUAAAGAUGGGAGGUGCGUACCAACGUGGGGUCCAGAAAGAUGUGGUUUUCACCCAUUGGCUUUGCUCAGUUACCUGUAUCAGUCCUUGUCCAAUAGGGCUUUUAGGGUUGGAAAUGUCCCCUGUAGGUUUUGUGGUUUCUUUGUCCUUUUCUUUCCUUAGAUUAAGUCACCAUUCCUCUCAUUCCCUUUUUAUCAGUUGAGGAGUGGGCUGGAGAUACGCAUUUCCUACAGUAAACAAAGCCUGUGGGAAGGCGCAUUUCUUAUAAUAAAAUGAGGCCUGUGGAGGUGUUACUCCCUGGAGCCUUUAAGCCACAAAGGCUAAUCAAUACCCAUAUCAAAAGAAUGUAUUGGAGCCCAGGCUCCUACUCUAACUACCUGAGUUAGUAUUCUGUCUCACUCUGCUGCAUCUCUUUAGAAGAACACUAAUCCCAUCAUAAAGGCCCUACUCCCGUGGCCUCAUCUAGCCCUAAUUACUUUGCAAAGGCCCUGUCUCCAAAUGCCAUCACGUUGGGGGUUUGAAUUUCAACACCUGUAUUUGGGAAAGUACAUAGACAUUCAGUCCAUAACAGUGUUUAAAUGUUUAAAUGUCGAGUCAGGCAGAUAUUCCUAGAUAUUUUGUCUAAUGCCAUCUGAUUUGAUCUCUUAGGCUAUGAUGAGAUAAAUCUCCAAAUCAUUGUAGGUGUUUGAAUGAUUCUGAUGCUUAAUGGAAUGAAAUAGUUAUCUUUGAGUCUGUGCCUGAGCUAGUGGGUUCCAGUCUCAUUUGUUCAAAAGCUUUUUGCUUCUUUGUCACUCUCCAAUCCACAAGAGUUCCAGAGAGUAUAUCUGGCUGGAAGCCUAAUUUUCUAAGUAUCUUCAGCCACACAUGAGACAGGCUCCAAGCACGGAUAAGGAAACUGGGAGGAUCACUUUUCCCAAAACCUUUCAAAUGUUUAUCCCAUGAUUGGCUCUCAUAAUUAUUCAUCAGUCACUUCAAAAAACCCAGAAGUUUAAGGGAAAUGGUACCCCUCUAUUUCCUUUAGACAUUCUUUGCAUUUUGAUUCCUAAAGAACUGUUUGAAGUCCAGGAUGAGAGGAAGUUUUAGUAUUUUAUCAGCUUUUCAAAUAUGCUCUUUCUCACUCUCAAAAAAUUGCAAAUACUUUGUGAUCGACACACACUAGCUCAUUCCGCCCCCUUGAACAACCAGCCUGAACAGCUUGGCUUCGCAUAGUAGGUAAAGAGGACAUUGAAAUCCUGGAGGUCAAUGAAGGGAAAAGGGGCAGAGAGGCUCUUCUCAUUAUAUUAUUCUCUAUUUCUCAUGCUUUUUUCCUAUUAAAUUUCAAGUAAUUUAACAUUUGCUAACAUGUAGAAGAAACGAAUUUUCAGUAACAUGCAGUGGGAAGAAGAAAAACAUGUUCAUUUCUUUUUCUUUCCUAGUUGCAUCGGUAAAAGGUCUGAGGAUAAAAUUUGCUUUUAUCCAGACACUUUAUUAAAAAUUUUAACAUAAGCUUCCACAGGUAUUGAAAGAGUACCUGUCAUUUUUAGAUAUCUUGGCAUUUAAAAGGUGUAAAAUAACACAAAAUAUAUUUUUCUUCCUGUUUUGAAAAAGUACAGUGUUCAGAAAGUAUAUUUCCUAAUCAACAUAUGGGCUGUAUUUUUCUGAUUAAGGCUAAUAGAAUGUCUCAGGCUCAAGGCAUGCCUGUUGAAUCAAGAGUGCUAGAAAAACCUUGAGAAAUUCAGGUUUCAAAAAAGGCUGCUUCUGCCUAAUGUACUCUUUCACUGCAAAAUCAAACUUUAUAAAAAUGUUUUGAUCCUGAAAAUUUGACCACAUUUUCAUGUAACAAGUUAAAGAAGAAAAAAAAUGGGACAUUUGAAAGAAAAGAAUGGCAGAAUUUGCUAUGUAUGUAGGAAGAAUUUGAAAGAAAAGAAUGGCAGAAUUUGCUAUGUAUGUAUUAAUUCAUCACAUUUAUAUAAAAUGUAUUUUAAGCAUAUCAUCAAAAUUGAGUCUCACAUAGAAAUAAUUAGGCUUAAAGUAAACUCCAGUCUAUAAUAUAUAAAUGAAUAUCAUAUAGAAUUAUGUUUUAUCUAAACAUCCCCCCCCAAAUAUCCCAUUUGGAACUAUAUGUUUGGGCUGGUUUCAGAAACUUCAACAUAAUGUAUUUUUAAAAUUGUAGAUUUUCAAUAAAAAGGUGGAUAGUCAUCCAUUGGUCAUCAGGUAAAAUUUACUGAAAAUGUCAUGACUAGCCUGAAAUCUCUCAAUGCUCAAGGCAAAUGUAUUGAAAGAUUCUUAAAGUAAUUUGAUAAAUAUGACAAACUUCUAUUUCAGUGAACAUAAAUACCAUUCUUAUCCUAAGUUAAGCUUAUCUUUGGUAGCAUCCUUAUAAAAGAUUAUUCUUAAAAUAUUGAAUCCUUAUAAUACCAAUAGAUACCAGUUAAAAAUUGAAAAAAAAAAUAAUGUAGCUGAAGAAUUCCUACCUACUAGAAUAAAACCCAGGCUUUUUAAUAUAAUAGAAUAGAGUAGAUAUAUUGGUGAUAUAUACUACAAUUUUGAGUUUAGUUUUGGGUUUAUCAUUCCUAAUGUAAGCAGUGAUACUGAAAAUAAGUAUCAUGCUCUAUUCUCUGACACAGAUGUAAGGAUGCUUUCUUGCCUAUCAGUAAGAAUCUUUAUCGAGAUAGUGAAAGCAACAUCAUAUUGUCUUUAUUGUACUCUUAGCAUAUCUGUGUGAGAGGAUCAGUUCAACUUUUGAUAUGUAGGCUGAUGGUUAUACAAAUGUGUGUGUGUGUGUGCAUGUAUGUAUAUAUUACAUACAUACAUGUAAACAUAUAUAAAUGCAUGUGUAUAUGUCAAUACAUGCAUCUGUAUUUGUAUCCCUGUGUUGAUGUAUACAUGUAAAUAUACAAACACAUUGCAUUAAUUCUGGUCCUCUGGGAAACCUAUGCCAAGGUGGAAUUAAUAGUGUAAGAAAUUCAUUGGGGUAAGUAUUUGUGAAGGAUAAAGGAAUGAAGGAGCAGGAGUGGACUGGGAGAACCUUCGAGAGACAGUGUUGGUCUGGCACCUGUGGGAGAAGAGAGGGAAGGAUGGAAGAUGGAGUAAGAAGAGCCUUGGACUCUAGCACAACUCAGAGAAAUUCUUACCAGGGUGACGGUAGCUCCAUGAGAAGGGCUCUGAAUGGCUGACCCCAGGACUCCUGCCCAGCCUCAUCGUUGGGUGGGAACAGCCUAGGACACUGGAGACCUUGUGGUAUAUCCUGAAGGGGCAGAGGCUGAGAGCUGUCAUCAGCUCCUCCUCUUAGAGCAGACUCUCCCUCUAGGGACAUGUGAUUAGAGGAAGCCCACACAUAUAUAUAUGUUCAUAUAUCUUAGAUGCAUCACUCCUCAGUCUUCUUGAGCCUGUGAUUGUGUAUGACCUUUCCAACAUUUUAGUCCUUCCCCAGGAUUCUCUUGUGAUUAAAUGGAAACAGAGUGAUACACAUUUUGAAGGGAGAAGAUCUGUAUAGUCGAAAAUGUUUCACAUCAUUUAGCCAUUUAUAUAGAACAGAGGUUAUUUUAUUUAAAAUGUUGUGGAGUUCCCACUGUGGUGCAAGGGAAUCAACAGUGUCUCUGUAGUGGCAGGGACAUGGGUUCAGUCCUCGGCAUGGCACCGUGGAUCGAGGAUCUUUCAUUGCUGCAGCUGUGGCAUGGGUCGCAACUCUGGCUCAGAUUUGAUCCCUGGUCUGGGAACUCCAUAUGCCACAGGGCAGCCAAAAAAACUGUGUGUGUGUGUGUGUGUGUGUGUGUGUGUAUAGUUAUAUAGUUAUAGUUAUGUUUCCAAGUUGGCUGAUUAUUCCAUCAUUUCCUUUGCCAGAAAGAUGAAUUAUCCUUGGAAACUUAUUCUGUAUUGUCAAGUAUCACUAAAAGUCCCUUAACCAUGAGAAACACAAAGUGGUGUUGUGGAUGCCUGUGGUCAGAUAUGCUUAGACUAGGGUUAGAUUUCAAAAACCCAAGAGGCUUACGUGUAAUUUAACCACCCCGCCUUCAACUGCCUGGGUCCCAACAGAGAGAAAGGGUGGAGUACAGAUAUAGCAGAUAAAUGUGGCUGGUGUCAGAACAAAACUAUUCCAGUUCCCUGUGGGGGUGGGGGGGGAGCAGCCCUGGAGGCAGAGGUGGGGUCAGAAGGAAGCAGAACAGAAACAGCCCUUGUUAGGGACUGAUGGCCAGUGCCUCCCGCCAAGUCACAUGUGGAAACCCUAACCCCUGAUGUGAAGAGAGCUGGAUGGGGGGCCUUUAGGAGGGGAUUAGGCUGGGAUGAAGUCAUGAGGUGGGGCCCUGUGUUGGGA
rnacentral:lncRNA from 1 species